AAGUAUAAGUGUAUUACUCUGUUUUAUUGCAAGUUAUUUCACAUGGGAUCUGUGUGCCUGGUAUGAUUGUUACUUUAAUACCAUAAGCCCAUUACACUUUCUAUGAGAGUGGGACAGCACAUCUUCCCUGCCCUGUGUGUUUGUUGCAUAGGAUCCAUACUGUUAAUAUGAUUUUGGUUUGUUAAUAAGAGAGCAACAUUUACAUUUUCAGCGGUCCAACACAUGCUUCAUUUUGUGCUGAAAGCUAACCUUUUUUAUUGCUACAGAUGCUUUAAAUGAUUCAGCUACUGCAUAUGUUUUGUGUCUUCUAUGUCUCACAUUAUAUGUGUUCUUUUAAAUUGUGGUAUAUAGCCUGAAUCAGACAUCAUGGACAAAGGUUUUUACCUGUGUUACUAAGGCUCUUGGAGACUGACCGGUCUAAAGGUUUGCCAUGCCUUAUAACAUGGCAUAGUAUAAAUUUUUUAAGUCUCCGAGAGUUCUGAAAGAUUUGGGAGAAACCAUGUCUGUGUAAUCUGGUCCAGAUGUUUGUUCAAUUUCUAUAAGAUUUAAGUUGAUGCAGCAUCAUCUCAGAUUAGUUAAUGGAAGUUUCAUACAAAUAUUUGAGUUAUGAGCGCGCUAUAUAAAUGGAUCCUUUCUUUAUAUACAAUACUAUAGUAGAUUAAAGUAAUGACGUUAAUUAGGAAAAAAACAUGUAAAUAAUAAGAAUUCCUAAAAUAAAUCUAAUACAAACUAAAAUUGGUAUACCUUACAAUAAUAUGUUCUGAGUACAACUGUUUGUUCUGAGGAAAUGGUGAUUGUGAUCAUGUGUGAAGUGUGCAGCUUAACUGGAAAGUGGUUUAAUUUAUAUGUUGCUGUGUUGUUUUAAAUUAUAUUUGAAUCAGUUUGUUUCAGUCUAGUGAUACUGAUACAAAUGCCAGCCAAAUAACCUAGCAAAUAACUGUUUUAUUAGCUGUUGAAUACUAGCGUUUUGGCCAAGAGUAGUUGGAGUUGGAGUAGUUCUAUGAGCUCAGAGAGGCUCUGUGUUGUUGUCUGAUAUAGCUAUAUGGGAAUGGAGAUUUGGAGGUGUUAGUUUAAGACUGCUUUCAUAUUGUGUCUACCCGUGUUUCCUAGGAGGGACACAGAGUGUGUAGUUGCGUGCCCAUGAAUGUGUUUUCUGCAUUGGCAUAUCUGCUGGGUACCCGAUACGUGUAUCUACUACGUCUGUUUUGUGAGAUAUGGUUUGAAAUGAAUUGGUGUGUUAUGUGUUUCAUGUAUUUUAUUGUCCAUUGUGUAGGAGUUUAACUAGCAGAGUGAUUUGCAUAUCAUUAACGCAAGCAUUUAGUGUUUUUACAAAAGGUGAAAUGCUGUCCAGCCGGCUAGAAUGAAACAAUUGUGUGCUAUCGCUCCUGGAGCAAGAAAAGAGCUUGUUACAUCCCACGUGAAAGGGGCCCCGCAAACUUCUGCUGUUCAAAUCGUGGAUCCACGUUUCCAUUUGCAAACUGAUUAAUCCUGAAAGUCAUUCUUUUACUGAUAAAAAGGAUUGAAUGGACAAGAUGUCUCUCCCUCAUAAAGGAGUUCUAAUAGGGGAGUAUUGUCCAGCUCAGAAGUAACUCUACUUUUAAAGUAUAUUGCAGUGUUUGUGUCAAAGUAAGAUUCAUCUAGAAUGCCUCAUUGAUUAUGGAGUAAUAAUAAAAUGGUAUUUUUAUUAGAGAUUAGACAAUUUCAGAAAUUUAUAAGUGAAUUAACCCCUUAAGGACACAUGACAUGUGUGACAUGACAUGAUUCCCUUUUAUUCCCGAAGUUUGGUCCUUAAGGGCCAAUCUUAAUCUCCUAAACUACUGUAUUAUAUUUGUAUGGGUAAAUUGAAAGCAUUUUGCAGAUCCAGAAGAGGAUUAAUAAAUAAUAUAAUAAUCUCACUAGGUGCCAAAUUAUGCAAAGAGGCUAUCCAAAGUACGCACUAACGGGUUAAACUUGUUUUCUUAAGAAGUGUAUAACAUAUAGUUUUGUGGUUAGACUUUUGAUACUCAAUUUGAAAUAUAUCCCAACUACAUCCUUGCACGGCCGCAGGUACAGGAAGCAAUAUGUGUUUUUAAAAUGCGCAAAGUCUUAGUGUUUUCAAUAUAGUAUAACAAUGGAAAAGUACCUAACCCCAUGUCUGCAUUACGCUCAUGACACAGACUGUCAGUAUUGCAAGCCCUAUAUGAAGGCUAUGCUUUCAUUGUCAAUGUAUAUACCCCUAGACAACCUUGCUUUAUAUACACAAUUUAACUAUCCAUUAAACCUUUAAAAGCUUAUUAAUAUUAUAUCUGUGUGGUACACAAAGAGGGGAUGUGAGUUCGGUAAUCCCAACCUGCAUAUGGAAUAUGCUUCCUCCUUGUUCACUUUUGUUCCUUGCUGGUCUCUGACUGGCCCUUUUUGACCCCAAAUGAAUUUCUUGGGAAGAUUCAUGAGAAAGAUACAGCAGGUUGUUUUGAUAGAAAGAAAGAAGGAAAAGGUAUGUAUCAGUCACAAGGACUGUGACCCUAAGCAGGCGAGACAAAGAAAUUUGGGAGGUGAUAGGAGAUUGAAUCAGAAAAGUUUUAAAGGCAAAGGUAGAGGAUUUGGUCAAAGGUUCUAACUUUUGUAGAGGUAGCAACUUCAGUAUUGGUGGAACACACAGUUCUAGUUGUGGAUAGCAGGGUCACUGGAUAAAUGAGUGCCCAAACCCACCCCCACAGAUUCCUCAAUACCAACCACAAAACCCACACCCAACAAUCCCAGCCUAAUACACAGAUGGUUCAUGUUUUUAAUAUUUUAUAUAGGUUUAGGUGUUAAUCCAAGAGUAUUGAAUUAUUUGGGAUUAUUAAAGUAAUUAAUUUUGAGUAUCAAAUCAAGGUUCAAGUUUAGGAACAGAGUUUUAUUGGGAAUGUAUAUGUGAAUGUUAGUGUUUUAAUAUUCAUCCUAACAAGCAUUUCUAUAGAGUGAGUGCUUCUCUCAUCCGUACAAAGGCAUUCCAAAUUGGUAUUAUGUAAAACUUCACAGAAGACAGAUUGCAUAAAAUAUAAGCAAAUAUAAGAGAAGUACAUGUUACACACGUUAAGGGUUUAACCUUAAUCUCUAAUUUAAGUUUUAGCCUAGGUAAUUAAUUAAUUGAUGUUGUAUUGAUCCUUGUGUUUGUAUGAUUGUAGAGACCGUCGUGGAGUGUUUGUGCCGCCUGAUUUCUGGGACUACACAUCAAUCUCUCCGGCUGACCAUGCAAUAAGUAUUUUGCAAUUACAUCUGUUUGGUCAUUAUCCAUGCAGUCCGAAGAAACUGAGAUACUUAUGAGGACAUAAACUUUGCACGCAAGAACCUGGAAAGUCCCGAAGGUGCAGUGCUGUCUAAUACCGCUGGUUCUGUAAUGACCCUUUCAACCACUGGGGUGUUGCACAGAGCAUUGUGGUGAAAAUCCAUUAAACAGAAGAAGAAAUAUGUGGAAGCUGACAUUGUCUUGUUGUCAGCCAUAUUGCUACCCUAGCCAUUUUAUGGAACAAAAUGUCUGGUGUCUAAACUGAUUUCUUUAUACUCUGUGAAAGACUUAUUCUAUUUUUCUGAACUAUUGAACUAUUUUUAUUUUUACUUUUGUAGAGUUAGCCGGAGAGAGAGGAAGUGUUAGCUGACCCAGGGAUGGAUGUACUAUGUGUGUUUUUGAUAUAUGUUGAGUGUGCCAAGGAUGGAUUCCCAUGUUUUGAGGAACUGCGUGAAGAUAUGACUGGUUUUGACUGGACCUUUGGAAUAGGGAAAUGGUUAAAAGAUAUAGGACGCAAGGUCCUGGUGAUUAUUGUCAGAAUUUCAAGCUAGAUUAUAAUUUAUCUCAUGAAUUAAUACAUAAGAAGUGUUUCCCAAUUCCUCCUGAUACUUGAGCUAUGUACUCACAGGUGCGGGUAUUAUAAGUCACAAGUGGUGUCAACUGUGAGGGGAUGACAUGUCUAACAUGAUCACGGCCCCCACUCAGGUUUUCCCCAGAUUUUUUGCCUGGCCCGAGAUCAUUGGGUGGACUGGUAAUCCUAGACCCCGGUCCUUGGACGGGGCAUAGGUAUUAUUCCCACUUUGACUAUAUGCGCCCACUUCCGUGGACAAAGGAGGAAAAUAACUGUUGGGAAUAAUACACUUUGCCCAUAUUUACCCAGGGCUUACGAUACAGAUGACAGGCUGGUUAGUCUGUUUAAAAUUGGUUAACAUGUCAGCUAUUUGCAAUAAUGUAUUUGCUAUAAGCCCAAGUUCCAUUUUGUCUUAAACAACCAUUUUCUAUAUAUCAGUCUGCAAAAGUAUUCAGUGUCUUUUUUCCUGCUGAGUUUCUGUUUCUUGUAGAUCACAUGAUUGCUUGGGUAUGGUAUAAUGUGGAAGUGUCUCUGUCCUGGGAAGAUUUUAACCGAUAAGAUGAGCAAUGUAUUGCUCAAAGAGGGGGAUGAAAGCAUAUGAAAUAGUUAACUUUCCUUGUUCAUAUGUAUUUUAUGCUUAGAUAAGGUUUAUAAUCAUUAGUGCUGACUGUAAGGAUAUGAAAUGGUUAACUUUAUAUGCUUUAAAAUAAUGUUUGAAAUAAUUAUGCUGACUUUGGCAGAUGUAUUUUGUACCAAGGUCUUUGGUCUACAGGAUUUAUGACCUUGCUCUAUCUCAGGAUGUUACUGUGCCGUCUUUAUUCAAAUGCUUAUCUUUUUAAUGUCAGACAAGUAUGUACUACUAACUUUAAGGAAGUGAUAAAUCUCGCUGCUUGCGUGACAAACUGUGUAUAAAUGCUAGCCCUGAAAAUAUACUCAUUGAGAACUUGUUAAGCACUCUUUCGUGUCUGUGUUUUAAUUUGCUAACAAG
rnacentral:lncRNA from 1 species